rnacentral:tRNA from 1 species
AGGAUUGUGGCUCAGUGGUAGAGCACUUGCCUACCAUGUGUGAGGCACUGGGUUCAAUCCCCAGCACUA